ACACAUGCAAGUCGAGCGGAGAUGAGGUGCUUGCACCUUAUCUUAGCGGCGGACGGGUGAGUAAUGCUUAGGAAUCUGCCUAUUAGUGGGGGACAACAUUCCGAAAGGAAUGCUAAUACCGCAUACGUCCUACGGGAGAAAGCAGGGGAUCUUCGGACCUUGCGCUAAUAGAUGAGCCUAAGUCGGAUUAGCUAGUUGGUGGGGUAAAGGCCUACCAAGGCGACGAUCUGUAGCGGGUCUGAGAGGAUGAUCCGCCACACUGGGACUGAGACACGGCCCAGACUCCUACGGGAGGCAGCAGUGGGGAAUAUUGGACAAUGGGGGGAACCCUGAUCCAGCCAUGCCGCGUGU
rnacentral:rRNA from 1 species